AUGAAAAUUUAUCUCAGCUAAUAUAUUAUUUCCCGUUUCAGUUUAAUUAUCAUUGUAUAGUAAAAUUUGAUAAGCUUUGUGCUUAAUGUCUUGUCCAUUCCAUUACAUCUCACCAUCAAAUAUACAAACCUAAGACACGGCCUCUAUACAAUAGCUUUGGGAAAGUUAACAUAAUACUUUACAAUGACUCUUGACUUAUGGAAACUAUGAUAUACGCCAACUUUCUCCGCAAGCUUCGUAUCUUCUUCAUAUAAGCUCCAAUACUAGUCUCCCCCUCAA
rnacentral:lncRNA from 1 species